rnacentral:rRNA from 1 species
CCUACGGGAGGCAGCAGUGGGGAAUAUUGGACAAUGGGCGAAAGCCUGAUCCAGCAAUGCCGCGUGAGUGAUGAAGGCCUUAGGGUCGUAAAGCUCUUUUACCCGGGAUGAUAAUGACAGUACCGGGAGAAUAAGCCCCGGCUAACUCCGUGCCAGCAGCCGCGGUAAUACGGAGGGGGCUAGCGUUGUUCGGAAUUACUGGGCGUAAAGCGUGCGUAGGCGGUUAUUCAAGUCAGAGGUGAAAGCCCGGGGCUCAACCCCGGAACGGCCUUUGAAACUAGGUAGCUAGAAUCUUGGAGAGGUCAGUGGAAUUCCGAGUGUAGAGGUGAAAUUCGUAGAUAUUCGGAAGAACACCAGUGGCGAAGGCGACUGACUGGACAAGUAUUGACGCUGAGGCACGAAAGCGUGGGGAGCGAAACAGGAUUAGAUACCCUGGUAGUCCACGCCGUAAACGAUGAUAACUAGCUGUUCGGGUACUUGGUAUCUGAGUGGCGCAGCUGACGCAUUAAGUUAUCCGCCUGGGGAGUACGGUCGCAAGAUUAAAACUCAAAUGAAUUGACGG